rnacentral:rRNA from 1 species
AUGGGUGAUGGCGUGCCUUUUGUAGAAUGAACCGGCGAGUUACGAUUUGAUGCAAGGUUAAGCAGUAAAUGUGGAGCCGUAGCGAAAGCGAGUCUGAAUAGGGCGUUUAGUAUUUGGUCGUAGACCCGAAACCAGGUGAUCUACCCUUGGUCAGGUUGAAGUUCAGGUAACACUGAAUGGAGGACCGAACCGACUUACGUUGAAAAGUGAGCGGAUGAACUGAGGGUAGCGGAGAAAUUCCAAUCGAACCUGGAGAUAGCUGGUUCUCUCCGAAAUAGCUUUAGGGCUAGCCUCAAGUGAUGAUUAUUGGAGGUAGAGCACUGUUUGGACGAGGGGCCCCUCUCGGGUUACCGAAUUCAGACAAACUCCGAAUGCCAAUUAAUUUAACUUGGGAGUCAGAACAUGGGUGAUAAGGUCCGUGUUCGAAAGGGAAACAGCCCAGACCACCAGCUAAGGUCCCAAAAUAUAUGUUAAGUGGAAAAGGAUGUGGCGUUGCCCAGACAACUAGGAUGUUGGCUUAGAAGCAGCCAUCAUUUAAAGAGUGCGUAAUAGCUCACUAGUCGAGUGACACUGCGCCGAAAAUGUACCGGGGCUAAACAUAUUACCGAAGCUGUGGAUUGUCCUUUGGACAAUGGUAGGAGAGCGUUCUAAGGGCGUUGAAGCAUGAUCGUAAGGACAUGUGGAGCGCUUAGAAGUGAGAAUGCCGGUGUGAGUAGCGAAAGACGGGUGAGAAUCCCGUCCACCGAUUGACUAAGGUUUCCAGAGGAAGGCUCGUCCGCUCUGGGUUAGUCGGGUCCUAAGCUGAGGCCGACAGGCGUAGGCGAUGGAUAACAGGUUGAUAUUCCUGUACCACCUAUAAUCGUUUUAAUCGAUGGGGGGACGCAGUAGGAUAGGCGAAGCGUGCGAUUGGAUUGCACGUCUAA